rnacentral:lncRNA from 1 species
UAAGAACUGACUUUGGGAAAGUCAUAAAGUAUUCAGGAUUUAAGCAGCAGACAUCCAUGAGGAUGCAAGCUGAGCUCCCCUGAGUGGCCUCCUCCUCGUGCACAUGUGUGUGUCAUUGUUUGCAACCCAAUCAUCUCUGUUAUGACAGGGAUGAUCAAAGCCAGCAGGGUUGUGCUCCUUUGUGUAACCUGAAGAUAUUUUCCACAUGCCGAGCCCUGAUGGACUUCAAAGACAGACACAGCUGGGGAAAGCCAGUCUGAUGGAAGGGAAACUCUGGCCCCAAAUCCUGAAACAUCAUUUCUAAUCAGAAGAGAAACACUGAGGGUUAAAAACUGAUUUCAUUUGAUGCUGCAUUUGGAAGAUCCUGGAUUAUCAUCAGAAAGGAGACAUCCACCAGCCACUCUAGAAAUAUGCCAUGGCGUUUUACAUUUUACACUCUUUGUAAACAAGAGGGAAAGCUGCAACCUGCACUUCCCAUUACUGGAACAUCUUACAAGGCUAUUUACAUAGGAGCUGGCGUUCUGAUGUCAGAUACUGGUAUAGAGAGACAUCUAGGCGUAGGGGGCACCAGCGCCACCUUUCACAUGGCAGAAGCCUGGACAAUAUGGACAUAAGGAUUUUUGAAUCAGUCAGGGCAAGUCGUGUGUUUUCUAUUUUGAAUAUAUGGAAUAUAUUUUUGAAUCACAGGAUUUUCUACUUUAAAGAGUUACUGCUGCUGUUACUUAGUAUAAGUACUGCUGUGUUAGAAGAAAAAGAGCAGAAAAGGAGAGAGAAACUAUCACGGUUCUUAAGAUAGUUUGUUUCAGCUUAGAUUUCAUCACAACUGUUUUUCAUACUGGAAUUUAUCAACUGUAAGUUAUCACUUUCCGAUACAAACCUUUUUUAGUGCUUUUUAAAAAUUGUGAAUAAAAUUGAUACUUGUUAUUCUUAGUUAUGUAUCA